GGGGCUGAUUCAGGAUUCGACGGGAAUUUUGAAACCCGAGGAGCAUGUCGUGGGGCGGUUGGCCACGUAAAAAGCCGCAAAAAAAUAGUCGCAAACGACGAAAACUACGCACUAGCAGCUUAAUAACCUGCUGAGAGCUCUCCUGCCCUAGCUUCUGCUUGUAAGACGGGGAAUAACAGGGGAUCAAACCCAAACGAGCUAGAACGGAUUCUCCCGCCUGAGAGAUGAACUUCGAAUUAUAAUUCAGGAUAGCCAUAAGAUAGCGUGUCGGUUCGCAGUUUUACGGUGAAAUCAAAGAUCGACUAAACAUGUAGCGCCAACGGUGAACGAUUUUCGGACGGGGGUUCAAAUCCCCCCAGCUCCACCA
rnacentral:tmRNA from 15 species